rnacentral:rRNA from 1 species
AACGAACGCUGGCGGCAUGCCUAAUACAUGCAAGUCGAACGAGAUCUUCGGAUCUAGUGGCGCACGGGUGCGUAACGCGUGGGAAUCUGCCCUUGGGUUCGGAAUAACUUCUGGAAACGGAAGCUAAUACCGGAUGAUGACGUAAGUCCAAAGAUUUAUCGACCAAGGAUGAGCCCGCGUGGGCUUAGGUAGUUGGUGGGGUAAAGGCACACCAAGCCGACGAUCCUUAGCUGGUCUGAGAGGAUGAUCAGCCACACUGGGACGGAGACACGGCCCAGACUACUGGGGGAGGGGGCAGAGGGGAAUAUUGGAAAAUGGGCGAAAUCAUGAACCACCUAUGCCGGGUGAGUGAUGAAGGUCUGAGGGUAGAAAAGCUCUUUUACCCGCCGUGAUACUGACGGUACCGGAAGAAUAAGCGCCGGCUAACUUCGUG